GUCUACAGUCAUGCCACCCAGAACAAGCCUGAUUCCAUCUAAUUUUGGGUGCUAAGCAGGGUUGGGCCUGGUUAGUACUUGGAUGGGAGACCACCUAGGAAGACCAGGCACUGUAGUCA
rnacentral:rRNA from 1 species